ACACAUGGAAGGAGGUGGUCCGAAGUUGAUUGGCAAACGGACAAGUGAGGUGACCAUCCGCUGACGCGGAGAUCCAUCUGAUAUCCCUCGAUCGAUCCCUCGCAUCGGCGAAUACCAGGUGGUCACCCGACCCCCGCACCCGACCUGGUCCGGUCGCUCGGCCCGAAUUCCCGGGCGGUGCGGGGGUCGUUCCAU
rnacentral:sRNA from 1 species